GUACCAGACUCCUACGGGAGGCAGCAGUGGGGGAUAUUGCACAAUGGGGGGAACCCUGAUGCAGCGACGCCGCGUGGGUGAAGGAGCGUUUCGGCGCGUAAAGCCCUAUCGGCAGGGAAGAAGGAGGACGGUACCUGACUAAGAAGCCCCGGCUAACUACGUGCCAGCAGCCGCGGUAAUACGUAGGGGGCGAGCGUUAUCCGGAUUUACUGGGUGUAAAGGGGGCGCAGACGGCGAUGCAAGCCAGGAGUGAAAGCCCGGGGCCCAACCCCGGGACUGCUUUGGAAACUGUUUGACUGGAGUGCAGGAGAGGUAAGUGGAAUUCCUAGUGUAGCGGUGAAAUGCGUAGAUAUUAGGAGGAACACCAGUGGCGAAGGCGGCUUACUGGACUGUAACUGACGUUGAGGCUCGAAAGCGUGGGGAGCAAACAGGAUUAGAUACCCGGGUACU
rnacentral:rRNA from 1 species